rnacentral:rRNA from 1 species
UAUGCCUACGGGGCGCAGCAGUGAGGAAUAUUGGUCAAUGGGCGGGAGCCUGAACCAGCCAAGCCGCGUGAAGGAAGAAGGCGCCAAGCGUCGUCCCCUUCUUUUGUCGGGGCCCGCCGGGCGCCCCGUGUGGCGUUGUGAGUGUACCCGAAGAAAAAGCAUCGGCUACCUCCGUGCCAGCAGCCGCGGCAAUACGGCGGCUGCGAGCGUUAUCCGGCUUUCUUGGGUUUCACGGGUGCGUCGGCGGUC